UGGGGAAUAUUGGGCAAUGGGCGAAAGCCUGACCCAGCGACGCCGUGUGAGGGAAGAAGGUCUUCGGAUUGUAAACCUUUGUCAACAGGGAUGAACAGAUGACGGUACCUGUGGAGGAAGCCACGGCUAACUACGUGCCAGCAGCCGCGGUAAUACGUAGGUGGCGAGCGUUAUCCGGAUUUACUGGGUGUAAAGGGUGUGUAGGCGGACAUGCAAGUCAGAGGUGAAAACUAUGGGCUCAACUCAUAGCCUGCCUUUGAAACUGUAUGUCUUGAGAGUGGGAGAGGUAAAUAGAAUUCCCGGUGUAGCGGUGAAAUGCGUAGAUAUCGGGAGGAAUACCGGUGGCGAAGGCGAUUUACUGGCCCAUUACUGACGCUGAGACACGAAAGCGUGGGUAGCAAACAGG
rnacentral:rRNA from 2 species